UCAAUUCGACGCAACGCGAAGAACCUUACCCAGGCUUGAACAGCGAGUGACCACUCUCGAAAGAGAGCUUCCGCAAGGACACUCGUAGAGGUGCUGCAUGGCUGUCGUCAGCUCGUGUCGUGAGAUGUUGGGUUAAGUCCCGCAACGAGCGCAACCCUUGUUUCCUGUUGCCAUCACGUUAUGGUGGGCACUCUGGAGAGACUGCCGGUGAUAAACCGGAGGAAGGUGGGGAUGACGUCAAGUCAGCAUGGCCUUUAUGUCUGGGGCUACACACGUGCUACAAUGGCCGAUACAAACCGUCGCGAGCCCGCAAGGGGGAGCUAAUCGGAGAAAGUCGGUCUCAGUUCGGAUCGUAGGCUGCAACUCGCCUGCGUGAAGUUGGAAUCGCUAGUAAUCGCGGAUCAGCACGCCGCGGUGAAUACGUUCCCGGGCCUUGUACACACCGCCCGUCACAUCACGAAAGCCGGUUGUACUAGAAGUCGCCACACCAACCCGCAAGGGAGGGAGGCGCCUAAGGUAU
rnacentral:rRNA from 1 species